GCCGGUGGCCGCAGAGAAUAGGCCCAAGCGACUGUUUACCAAAAACAUAGGUUUCUGCUAAGUCGCAAGACGAUGUAUAGGAGCGGACGCCUGCCCGGUGCUGGAAGGUUAAGGGGAUCUGUUAGAGUAAUCGAAGCAGUGAACUUAAGCCCCAGUAAACGGCGGCCGUAACUAUAACGGUCCUAAGGUAGCGAAAUUCCUUGUCGGGUAAG
rnacentral:rRNA from 1 species